UUUAUAACGAAAACAAUUUCAUUUUAUUUUGUCUUUAUGCUUUAAGUGACAACACAUUCAAAUAUAGUUGAAGCUAUUUCUUCAGAAGAAAGUGUGACGAAGGUGCACGAAGAAGAAGAAACCGACGGUUUAUCAAAAACAGAACUACUAAUCCUAUUCUGUGGAGCCUUAUCUGGGAUUAUUGUUUUACUAGGAAUCUUAGGAAUUUCAAACUGUGUCAAGAAACGUAGAUGUCUUUCGAAAUCAAAAUGCAAAAACACUGUCGAAGAAAGUGGUGGUAAAGCAGAAGAACACACAACACAAGAAACUUUGGAACUCCAUGAAUGCCUAUACGAAAGCAUCGACGAUAGUCAUUUGGACAGCAUAUUACUUCCCAUUACAUUUAGUUCUAAUCUUGAAAAAGACUAUGACUCGUCCAGUUCUGAAAGUAUAACAAAUUGUAACGAAACUCUGGCCUGUUACCAACACCCAUUUACCAGUCUUGGUACAAAGGAAUCCAGUCAUAAGGACGAACAAAGCCAAAAUGCAAUUCCGUCUACGAAAAAAUAUAAUUGUAUAGUAGAUCAAAGUUUAUGCAGUACCUAUCCGCCAAUAGAAGAGGACGCUUCGGGUUAUGAAAUUUCAGUAGAUUGCACGUAUGACCGAGCAAGCUACCUUCACCGGAACAAUACUUUAGUCGACAAGACUUCCUACUGCCACAUCUCCGACAUAAACAAAAGUAAACAUCUUUCAGAAUAGAUGCAAGUUAUCGACCAAACAAUCAUAAUUGAUGAGAAAAGAAAUCAAUGGAAAUGGAAAAGAAUAUAUAAAAAUCCUAAUUGUCCAACUUUUUUCCCUUUUGUUGUUGGAUGUAUCGUUAUGAUGUAGUAUGUCGCAUUUUUUAAUAUCUAAAAAGAAAGGGAAUUUAGAUUUCUGACUCCAUAUCUGUUUUAUCCAGCGAUCAUUUAUCAAUGAAUUAAUAGUAUAUUACUCAUGCAAAUGCAAACAAUCACGUCUUGCUUUCAUCAGACUUGUUUUUUGUUUUUCUAACAAUAUUAUAUAAAUUUUGCCAUUAUGCAGACAUUUAAAUAGGGAUAGAAGGAGAUGUAGGUUAUAAUUUAAUGAUAAUGCAACCCAACGACAACAAUAAUUAUAAGACAUGUAUAGGGCAACAUACAGAUUAUAACGAUCGAACAGUCAAAUGAUAUGCAAUAUGUUAAAUUGAUCUUAGAUGAAUAAGACUACCUUUUUAGUUGCCUUUUUGUAAUAUCGCUAGUCACGUUCUCAUGUCUUAUAUAUUCUUAGCAUCUUUAUAGUUAAGACUUGAGCGUUUCUGGUGAAGGUAAAUCCACAAUUAUUCUUCGGACGCACGAAAUUGAUAAAUUGUUAUUUUCAUUUUAAAAAAGAUCUAAACCACCUCGAUCAUUAUUUUCAUCGGUUGACAUUUUUGUAUGUCCACAGUAUUUCAAAAUUUUUUUAUUCUUUAUGUGAAGUUACCGUCAUACCGAAUUCAUCCUCGCCACUGAGUGGUUGAUUCCAAUGGAAUAUUCCUAGUUAUUUUCCUUAAAAUCGACUAUAUAUAGUAUAAUUGUGCACCUUUUAAGAUUGUUCAUUAGAUUCAAUAGUUUUCUAUUUGAAAAAAAAAAACAAUAAUGGGAACAAGCAGAAUAUGUUAUUGACGGUCAACGUGCUGUGCAUGUCAACUUAACUUCUGAAAUUUUGCUUUUUGUAUUAAAUAUGUAUAUGUAUGAUUAUUUUUAAUUUGUUUUUGAAGAUUUUUUUUUUUUUUUUAUUUAAUUACAAAGAUUUUAAAAAUGUUUCA